rnacentral:tRNA from 1 species
UAAGACUUAUGAACACUAACUCAUAUCUUUUGAAUGCAACUCAAACACUUUAAUUAAGCUAAAGCCUUU